UACGAACUGUGCGACCGUUAUUCGGAAUCACUGGGCUUACAGGGUGCGUAGGCGGCCUUUCAAGUCAGGUGUGAAAGCCCUCGGCUCAACCGAGGAACUGCGCUUGAAACUGAAGGGCUCGAGUCAGCUAGAGGUGCACGGAACUUCCAGUGGAGCGGUGAAAUGUGUUGAUAUUGGAAGGAACACCGGAGGCGAAAGCGGUGCACUGGGGCUGGUCUGACGCUGAGGCACGAAAGCCAGGGGAGCGAACGGG
rnacentral:rRNA from 1 species